GUGAGUGUAGCUCAGUGGUAGAGCACUUGCUUAGCAGGCACAGGGUACUGGGUUCAAUCCCCAGUACCUCCA
rnacentral:tRNA from 1 species